UCUGUGAUCAUAUAUAUGCCAUGCUCAGACAUGGGAUUUGAAGAACGUACAAGUCAUCUUCUUUCUGUAGAAGGAUACUGAAGGUUUGAAUGUUUCCUUCUGCCACAUCAUCUGUAUGCUUAGUGAUGACUUUGUUUUUGUUUUUUUUGUUUUUCAGCUCAGUCAUCUUUCAUGAAGAGGAAGCAGACACCAGAAUGGAGAAGCCCCUCAGUAGAUUUGAGCUGUGAGCGCUUCUUUGGCAGUGUCUUAGCUGGUUGUUGUGAACAGUCUGAACAAAGCAAUCAGCAAGUAUACUGCCGCAGAAACGUCUCACCCUGUGUUUAGAGGGCACACUUCUACGACACCAAAACCAUCAUUCUAGGGUCUCUCCGGCAUUUCAUCCCACAUGGACAGCUGUAUAAAAAGCAAAAUUACUUAUGAAAACGAAAAGCAGCCUGGGAAUCAAAAGCCUAAAUGUCAUUUAUGAAAAUCUGGGUUCAGAUGCAUCCACUUUAAUGUUUGGAUGUUCAGUGCAAAGAACCAGUGUUUAUGCCUGUGGAUUCAAUAUUUAAAGGGAUGGCUACAAAUCCUAGGUUCUAGUCCACAUUACUUGGUGAUAUACAUCUUGACUAAACACCAACCAUUUCACUCACUUCUGGCCAGUCUGCACAUACUAGAACCCUAUGUGUGUUAGUUUAUAACCAGUUUGUCUUUCUUGACACAGGUACCGUAUGUGUCACACUCUCAUCUUCUGAUGACAAAGGAUUUUUUAUUUCCUAAUUUGGAGAGUCCCCAUCUUAUUUACAGUACUCCCUUUAUGAUGCAGAAUCCUCUAUAGGGAGAGGAAGUGAGAUGGUAAACCGAUGACCUUUGUUACCAGAAAAUCUCUGCUGCACGUGUUAAGUUACGACAGAUUACACUGUCAGUUAGUGGAGAUGAGUCUGCUGAUCUGGAGCUGACCUCCCCUGCAUGAAGAUUCAUAGCAGGCAGCAUGAGCACGUGCUUCAGCUCACUACUGACUGAACAGAAAACAGGCAGAAAAAUGAGAAUGGCAGAUUAGUGCCAUUUAACAUCGUGAUGGGCGCAUACUCAAGGGGAGGCAUGUGCCCAUCCACAAUAUUUAAAAAUAACAGAUAGUGAUGGACCAAGCAGAUGUUCCACAUACCUCAUAUAUAUAUUAUAUAAAAUAGUAAAAUGAGUCAGGUAUGCAUUAUCAGCUGGACUUAAGAAAAGCAAUUGGAAGGAAUGUCCUCGUGUGAGUAUUACAUUGUAGGUUGCCCACAGAUUUGUAUUUAACUUUCAGCCUGACUUGUCUAUUGCUUAAACCUAUUACCGUACAGUAUAUAGAUAUGGUAUAUUCACCUGCGGUGGGGUAGCGCCCUGCCCAGGCUUUGUUUCCUGCCUUAUGCCCUGUGUUGGCUGGGAUUGGCUCCAGCAGAGCCCCCGUGACCCUGUAGUUAGGAUAUAGCAUGUUGGAUAAUGGAUGGAUGGAUAUAUAUUCACACUCUCCCCACGUCCAUGUAGAUUUCCUUCAAAUACCCAGGUUUGCCCUCACAUAUCCAAAACAUUCAUUGGUGAUGCUAAAAUAGGCUGACACAGGUAAGUGUGGGUUUUUUCCCCCCAGGUGAGGUGGCAUCUCACUCAAGAGUUCACUCCCGACUCCAUAGCCCAGUAGUAUACACCCAUUCUCUACAUAAUCCUGACAUGGAAUGAAUUGGCCUGGAAAGUGAAUAAAUGAAUCCAUACAAAUGAUAAUGUAAUUGCAGUUAGUCUUGAGGAUUUUAAAUGUUCCAGCAGUAAUGCUCCAGCAUGUCGCAGUUUUAAAAAUCAUUCAUUUUGAUAAGUGUUGUCUUCCUGCCAAUUCCAUAUCUAAAGCUAAGGUACACACCGUAAAAACAAAAGCUAGGCCUGUAGUGUCAUCCAUAUCUGAGCCAAAACAGCCUGCUUUACAUCCAUAGGCAGCCAAUCCUAAUCCCUUGUUGCAGAGUGACAGGUUACACAGGCCCAAAAAGAUGGAGCCAAAGACUUUAAAAAUAUUCACAAAAAGGGGAAGAGAGAAAAACAUAAAACCAAAAAAGAGCUUGUGCCGUAACAACAGGCAACACUGAAUAGCCAUGGUGCUCGUGAGGAUCGGUUUCCUUGUAUGGGUCCUUGCUCCCACUAUUACCAGUGUAAUCACUGGUCCAUUGUGAUUCUGUCUUGGAAUAAGAUGGUUUGGAAAUAAAUCAUCUAGUUUACAAGCUUCUACUUUGCCCCUUUUUAUAAUUGAUUUUGAAGUUGCCUCUUCUCUAUUAGACAUGAACCACUAAACCCCCAAUUCUCUAAAGAAUCGCAAAUCCAAGAAUGGCAGUUACUUUCUGUUCCCUCUAAUCUUUGUAGGGAUGUAAGAUCAUGGAGGGUGGGAGCGUCCUGGGAAAGUUUUCAUUUAAUGAAAUAAAUAUAUUUGUAGUAAAGCUGUUUCUUUUUGGAGCCGUGACUCGUUUGGUUCUGGUGUUUCAAAAGCGUGUUGUAGGCGCCUUCGUUCAUUGUUUUUAUCCAUGCAGCCUCGUUUUUGUUUUUCUAUGGAUGUGUUAUUAGCUACAAGUCGCUUGCUGUUAGGAAUCAUAAUUGAACACCUGACCGCAGGCACUGUGGAGUAGCUGACUGGUGGCACUGUCAGUAGUCAUCACAACCUCAAGUUUAAAUACAUACACAUAUAUAGAUAGACGCCGCAUUCACGGUGUUUCCCAGUAGACACGAUACGUCAGCCUUAUUGCAAGUGGCAAAAGUGCCAUUUAAACUAAUACAGGUAGACGUGGAAACCGGGUUUUCUGAUGAAAAAACAAUAACAUUUAAAACAGUAUCGUUUACAUACAUCAGAUUUUGGCGAAUCGUUUAAAUGUAAUUAUUUAUAUCCAUUUAUACACUAAUAAUGGCAAUUAUUAAAUAAUAAUAAUAAUUAUUAUUAAUCAUUCCUCCCAUAUAAGUAACAUUUCGGGGACUGCCUUCUUCUAUCUUCGAAACAUUUCCAGACUUUGUCCUGUUCUUACGCAACACAGUACUGAAGUAUUGUUUUAGUCACGUCACAUAUAGAUUAUCGUAAUGGUAUUCUAUCUGGCAUCCCACAAAAACUUAUCCAUCGCUUAGAACUUCUUCAAAAUUCUGCUACCAGGAUAAUAUCCUGCUGUUGUAAAUCCACUGAACAUAUUACACCUAUUCUCUCUCAACUUCACUGGCUCCCUGUUAACUACAGAAUACAAUACUAAAUACCGCUCUUAACAUUUAAAGCUCUCCACAACCUCACUGAUCUCCUCCAGACUUACACUCCUCUCGCUCACUCAGAUCUUGUAAUUCGAGAGUAUUCAGUCUGGCAAUAUGGUGCAGCCUUAGUUUAUGGAAGACAGACACAACUAAAGACAGGAGCAUAAAAUGAUGGUUGUCAAUUUCAAACUGUGUUUCCUCAAUGUGCUUUUUGAGAAAAAACAUCAUCAAGUUUGAGAAAUGUUAACAGCCAACAACAAUCUACAUAGUGACUAAAUACAUUUAGCCAAAACGUUGUUUGGAGGCUCACCUGGGCACAUAAAUGCAUAGCUUUGCUAGCUUAGCCUGGCUUAGCUAAAGUAAAGAUUAUAAAAGGGGAUUUUCUAACGGCCAAAUAUAACCAAAACAAUUGUUCAGCCUUACCUAUGAAAUGUAAUCCCCCGGGAUCUGGUUUGGAGCGUACAGCAGUUUGUACAAUCCCAAGCAGCACAUUAUUCAUUACUUCACUCCACAGCAGUGCCACUCACAAUAUGGCGGCGACGUUGACGUACGAUUCUGCUAGUCAUGAGGCGUCUAGUUAUUCUAUGUCUAUGUUUAAAUAUGUCACCAUGGCAACUUGUUGGCAUGCACACUUUACCUCAAGUUUAGUUUACAGGUUGUGUUGUGUUGUUUGGGCGCUACUUACUGACUUUGGGAAGCAUCCGUGCAUAUAUACAACCUUUGUAAACAUUACUAAAUGAAGGUUUUAUAUGCGGCGGUGUGCUCGUUCGGGCGGUGGUUGUAUUGUGACCUGAAGUUUAGUUUACAGGUUGUGUUGUGUUGUUUGGGCGCUACCUACUGAGUCUGGGAAGCCGCUGGGUUUGAAUCUGGGGCGCUGAGUCACAGUGCGCGUGCGCUUCAAUGUGUCUGGCAACCUGCGUCCGUCGUCCUGCGUCCAUGCAUAUAUGCAACCUUCGUUUAGUAAUAUAGAUUAUCUCUCCUUUUCUUCACUGUAAUGUCUCAUUCUUCAAAUUAUUCAGUUGGUUGUUGACUCUUAAUUUGUCCUGAUGUUAGUGUUGGUGCCUUUAUAUGAACUGGUAUUGCAUCCCAACAGUUACCAAGAUAGGAUAAAUUGGAAUAAGUUAGUCUGAAAAAUUAAUAUACAGUAUGAAUCAAUAAUUAAAGCUCAGUCGCCAGCAGUUGUAAUGACACCUUUGGUCUGCUAAAAAUGAAAUGUUGUACCUUUUCGAUAUUGUAAAGUCUCAUUUUUCAUAUUAUUCAGUUGAUUGAUAACUCUAAAUCAGUCUGGCACUACUGGAUGUGCCUUUUGAUGGACCAGCACUCCAUUCAGUGUUGUGGUCCUGCCUUGAUCCUGAUGUGGUCAGGAUAGGCUUUGUCCUCAUGUCCAGAAAAUGGAUUGAUCCAUGGAUGGAUUCCUUUCAUAAUGCUUGAAGUCAACCUUUGUGGAUGACCCCUUCAGUUUUGAUUCUUUGGUAAAACUGGUCCAGUACCUUUUAAUUUCAUCAGUUCAAUGUCCAUGCACACAGGAAUAGGGCACCAAAUAUUGGAUCGCCAUAGGGUUCUUAAUCAGACUAAUAGAUGUGUUGGCACACCCAGCUAUAAAGCCUUCCUCACUUGUUUAAUUCCUCUCUUUCUCUCAUGUUUGCUCUCACACUUUUCUUUCGCCUGGUUCUCUGCCAGCGAGCCACUAUCCCAGCUGGCCUCCCAAUUCAAGUCUCAUUCGACUUGUGGCAGCCCACAAAGACUCAUGACUAGCACUUGACUGAGGUCAUAAAUAGUCCCAAAUUGCUUCAGUCUACUUAACACUUCUGCCUUCCCUCACCACCUCCUGUUUUUAUACCCAUUUCAGCCAUGGUACUGAAUGAGCUAGAAGUUGAUUUUAAAUGUUUGCUCUCCUGGCCCUCUUCAAUAGCAGAAAGGUCCUGUGCACUCAUGCACUCCAGCCAGUUUAGAGUGGCCAAUCAGCCUGACCUCUGAUGUGGGCAGAAAACUAAGAACUGGAUAAAAGUACACAGAAACAAAGGGGGAACAUGUAAAUGCCACACAGGUAGUGACCAGGCCAGGAUUUGAUCGCAGCACUCUGGAGUUGUGAGGCAGUAGCACCAACCACUGCACUAUACUAUGCUAAUUUUAUUGAUGCCUUUUUUUAAUUUUUAUGAAUUUGCUUUGCACCUUACAUGUAGUGUACAAAUAUAAACUAGAAUUUGAAGUAACAUUUCAGUCAGCACAACACAUUUGUGCUUGUGAACCAAAGAGGCAGCCAACACCAUUUGUACUUUCCUAUUGUUCAAAAACCUGAUUAGAUUCAUGGGAUGAAAGGAUUGAAUGUCACCCAAAGCAUGGCACGUCGCCAGUGAGGAGGAAGUGGUAUCCAUUACACAGAAAAUGUGACAAGUCCGUGCUGAUUCUUAUCUUGUAAGCAAGAACCCUAGAUGUAUUCACACGUAACUUGUGUAAUCUCGUCUUUUGAGCUUGUAUUUUUAUAAAUGAAUAUUCCUUA